UACCAAGGCGAAGACGGGUAGCUAGUCUGAGAGGAUGGCCAGCCACACGGGGACUGAGACACGGCCCCGACUCCUACGGGAGGCAGCAGUGGGGAAUAUUGGGCAAUGGGGGCAACCCUGACCCAGCGACGCCGCGUGGGUGACGAAGGCCUUCGGGUCGUAAAGCCCUGUCAGGUGGAACGAAUGGCUCCGGGGUGAAGAGCCCCGGGGCGUGACGGUACCACCGAAGGAAGCACCGGCCAACUCCGUGCCAGCAGCCGCGGUAAGACGGAGGGUGCAAGCGUUGCUCGGAAUUACUGGGCGUAAAGGGUGCGUAGGCGGCCGCGUGAGUCUGACGUGAAAGCCCAGGGCUCAGCCGUGGAAGCGCGCCAGAAACUGCGCGGCUGGAGUGCCGGAGGGGAGAGUGGAAUUCCCGGUGUAGCGGUGAAAUGCGUAGAGAUCGGGAGGAAUACCGGUGGCGAAAGCGACUCUCUGGACGGCCACUGACGCUGAGGCANGAA
rnacentral:rRNA from 1 species